CGAGCCUGAUGAGCACGCCGCGUGAGUGAUGAAGGCCUUCGGGUUGUAAAGCUCUGUCUUUGGGGACGAUAAUGACGGUACCCAAGGAGGAAGCCACGGCUAACUACGUGCCAGCAGCCGCGGUAAUACGUAGGUGGCAAGCGUUGUCCGGAUUUACUGGGCGUAAAGGAUGCGUAGGUGGAUAUGCAAGUCAGAUGUGAAAUACCCGGGCUUAACUCGGGUGCUGCAUUUGAAACUAUAUAUCUAGAGUGCAGGAGAGGUAAGUGGAAUUCCUAGUGUAGCGGUGAAAUGCGUAGAGAUUAGGAAGAACACCAGUGGCGAAGGCGACUUACUGGACUGUAACUGACACUGAGGCAUGAAAGCGUGGGGAGCAAACAGGAUUAGAUACCCUGGUAGUCCACGCCGUAAACGAUGGGUACUAGGUGUAGGGGGUAUCGACUCCCUCUGUGCCGCAGUUAACACAAUAAGUACCCCGCCUGGGGAGUACGGUCGCAAGAUUAAAACUCAAG
rnacentral:rRNA from 1 species